rnacentral:lncRNA from 1 species
AGGAAACGAAAUGGUUGUAGUCUGACCUUUUCCUUGAUGUCGAAUCGAAGGCCUCCCACAAAUCUUGCAACCUGGUGCUGUUCAUUUUCGCUUAGGUUUGUUCUUGCACUCAGGCGGUGGAAUUCUUCAAUGUACUCAGCUACUGUCCGGACACCUUGGCGGCAGUUUUGGUACUGAUUGUAUAAAGUUUGUUCGUAGUUUGGUGGUAAGAAUCUUGCCUUCAAUAACUUUUUUCAUCUUUUCCCAUGAGCGAACCGGUUGUUUCCCGCAUCUUUGUCUAUUGAUUUCUAACUGAUCCCACCAAGCUGAUGCACCAGCCCUUAAUUUUAAGGCUACUAGGUGGACUUUCUUGCGUUCAGGCGUAUCCAUGUAGUUGAAGAAGUUUUCAGUACUCUUUAUCCAGUCCAAGAAUGCUUCUAUGUUUCGUUUGCCAUCAUACAUGGGAAGGUCAAUCUUCAUCUUAUAAUCGUGGUAUUCUCCUCUUCUGGCCUCAAUUCUUUGGUUAUUUCUUCCUGCUCGUGCUUCAUCAUUGAAGUUCCACAUGUUUCCUUGUUCAUCCCCGCUUGAAGAAUCAUCUUCUUGGGUUUCUUGCCAAGCUUCUUGAUCUUCUUGAAAGUCUUCGUCAAGCUGUUGCUGUAUAGCGUAACCGGGUCUCCUUCUUUGAAGUCCUCGUGGAUUGUUCAUGUUUCUAACGUAUCCCCUUGCUCGCCGGCCUCUUGUUUCACCAAAACGUUGGUCGUUUUGGAAGUUAAUUUCAUUCCGUGGUGGUGGCUGUGGGAAUUCUCCUCUUCGGUUUAACAGUUCGACACUUUCCAUCAACCUAUCAAAUUUGUUGUGGAGAUCUCCCAAAGAUUCUUCAACAGCCAGCAAGCGAACUGUUGAUGUCUUUGGAGAGAGGACGGUGAUUUCCUCCGCCGCUUCUUGCACACGGUUUUCCCCCGUGGCAGGGUUGUUAACUCUUCGGCCAGCCAUUCCGUCCAAGAAUCGGGGCUGCUCUGAUACCAAUUUGAUGUAAUUCAAAGUUAGGAUUGAUUUUUCAAAAUGAAUUCUCUGCCAUAUUUCAGGCUAGGAGACUGUUAUAUAUUGAUAUCUCAAG